AUUGAACGCUGGCGGCAUGCCUUACACAUGCAAGUCGAACGGUAACGGGCCUUCGGGUGCCGACGAGUGGCGAACGGGUGAGUAAUACAUCGGAACGUGCCCGAUCGUGGGGGAUAACGAGGCGAAAGCUUUGCUAAUACCGCAUACGAUCUACGGAUGAAAGCAGGGGACCGCAAGGCCUUGCGCGGACGGAGCGGCCGAUGGCGGAUUAGGUAGUUGGUGGGAUAAAAGCUUACCAAGCCGACGAUCUGUAGCUGGUCUGAGAGGAUGAUCAGCCACACUGGGACUGAGACACGGCCCAGACUCCUACGGGAGGCAGCAGUGGGGAAUUUUGGACAAUGGGCGAAAGCCUGAUCCAGCCAUGCCGCGUGCAGGAUGAAGGCCUUCGGGUUGUAAGCUGCUUUUGUACGGAACGAAAAGCCUUCUUUUAAUACAGGGGGGUCAUGACGGUACCGUAAGAAUAAGCACCGGCUAACUACGUG
rnacentral:rRNA from 1 species